UUAGAGGAAAACGUGGAAGACAAGGCAGGAGGUGAGACAGUUGAGACCCAGAGAGGUAUGAUGGCUUCCUGAAGUCAUCAUGGAAUAUGUAUCACGGAGAUGGGUAUGCAGCUGAGGUAGAGCUUUCUUUGUGAAAGGUUGACUGUUAAAGAAGACUUUUGCAAGGAUGGUGUGACCAUCUAGCAUGGGACCUACUGAUGGUCAGGGAGUGGUCAUAUGUUCCUGAGCGAAAGCACCAUAGGCAGAAAGACUGGGACUCUCAAGACCUGAGAUAUGGCCUCUGAGAUGGUGCAGCUGCAGGAGAGGUUCCUCUUGAUCACCGUGCUGACUGACAGAAGGUUGAGAUGAUCCAUGAUGCCUCUGCUGGGCUAUAAACACCGUUCCUUGAAGUACGUGAUUGUGUUUGGAAAUAAAGCUUUCUGAUGCAAAUUAA
rnacentral:lncRNA from 1 species